AUUGAACGCUGGCGGCAGGCUUAACACAUGCAAGUCGAGCGGAGAGAGGUAGCUUGCUACCGAUCUUAGCGGCGGACGGGUGAGUAAUGCUUAGGAAUCUGCCUAUUAGUGGGGGACAACAUUUCGAAAGGAAUGCUAAUACCGCAUACGUCCUACGGGAGAAAGCAGGGGAUCUUCGGACCUUGCGCUAAUAGAUGAGCCUAAGUCGGAUUAGCUAGUUGGUGGGGUAAAGGCCUACCAAGGCGACGAUCUGUAGCGGGUCUGAGAGGAUGAUCCGCCGCACUGGGACUGGGACACGGCCCGGACUCCUACGGGAGGCAGCAGUGGGGAAUAUUGGACAAUGGGCGCAAGCCUGAUCCAGCCAUGCCGCGUGUGUGAAGAAGGCCUUAUGGUUGUAAAGCACUUUAAGCGAGGAGGAGGCUACUUUAGUUAAUACCUAGAGAUAGUGGACGUUACUCGCAGAAUAAGCACCGGCUAACUCUGUGCCAGCCGCCGCGGUAAUAC
rnacentral:rRNA from 1 species